AGCAGCCGCGGUAAUUCCAGCUCCAAUAGCGUAUAUUAAAGUUGUUGCAGUUAAAAAGCUCGUAGUUGAAUUUAGAGAUCAAAUUGUUGGUCGUGCCUUGGUACGCACUGGCAUUAUUGGUUUCUCCCUUCUGACGAACCAUGAUGUCAUUAAUUUGGUGUCUUGGGGAAUCAGGACUGUUACUUUGAAAAAUUAGAGUGUUUAAAGCAGGCUCACGCUUGAAUACAUUAGCAUGGAAUAAUGAAAUAGGACGUUUGAUUCUAUUUUGUUGGUUUCUAGGAUCGACGUAAUGAUUAAUAGGGAUAGUUGGGGGCAUUAGUAUUCAAUUGUCAGAGGUGAAAUCCCUGGAUUUAUUGAAGACUAACUACUGCGAAAGCAUUUGCCAAGGAUGUUUUCAUUAAUCAAGAACGAAAGUUAGGGGAUCGAAGACGAUCAGAUACCGUCGUAGUC
rnacentral:rRNA from 1 species